UACGUAGGGGUGCGAGCGUUUAAUCGGAAUUACUGGGCGUAAAGUGUGCGCAGGCGGCGCCGCAAGUCGAGUGUGAAAGCCCCGAGCUUAACUUGGGGAAUUGCGCUCGAAACUAUGGUGCUGGAGUGUGGCAGAGGAAGGUGGAAUUCCACGUGUAGCGGUGGAAUGCGCAGAUAUCAGGAGGAACACCGGUGGCGAAGGCGGGUCUCUGGGCAGUAACUGACGCUGAGGAGCGAAAGCGUGGGGGAGCGAACAGG
rnacentral:rRNA from 1 species